rnacentral:lncRNA from 1 species
CUAAUAUUUGUCCUAUGGCUCCAUAUCCACAGAUGGGCUUCAGGAGCCAUAAACCCCUUAAAGCUGUAUGCACUAGUAUGCAUGGCUGUUGAAUGCAUACAAUUUUGUGAAAUUAUUUAUUGAAAAAUCUAUGAACUCAGAAAUGACCAAGAAUCACUUAUCUGGUGCCAUGCCAACCAAAUGAAUGGCGUGCUUUCCUCUU